AAUGAAUAAACUAACUUUCAUUAUAUGGAUUUUCAUUACAUUCCUGAUAUUCUGAUUCAAAUUCAAAUUCAGCUACCAACGAGUUGUGACCAAUUUAAUUAAUAUUCAUGAAUGGGAGCCAGUUUUUUAAAUUCUGAAUUGCUCCAAAAGCUGUUUGAUUUAAUUUUAUUUAAUACAGAAAGUCCACUAUAUACCUAAUAUCAUGUUAGGAUUAUUUUAUUAAAUGCAGUGGAAACUGAAAGACAAUUAAAAAAAAAAAAGGUGAACAGAUUUACUAAACAAAAUAUAUUUCAAAAUCACACAUAAAACAUUAAUAGCACAGAGAAAACAAGAGAAGACAUUAAUAAGCCCUCUCGUUUGGUACCCAGGUGUGAAAUGUAGCUAUGAAUUGGCUGAGAGAGGAGGGACUCAGUGUUCAUAUGAUCUUAGUGUCUGACAGAGACUGUGGUUGAAAGGAUUCAGUCCGACUCUUCUCAGAGUGAACACUUGUACAAUGGAUCUUCAUGUACUUAUUCUGUUCUGUGCCUCAGUCAGUAUCUACAUUCAUUUUUAUUGAUCAGUUUUUUGUUUUAAAGAAAACUCACUAAAACACUAAAUGUACAUUUUCUCUUUCAGCUGCUGUCUUUGAAAAUGUCAUCACACCAAAUAAAACAGAGUUAUGUGCUGAGGAGAAUUCAGAUGUUAUCGUUAUCUUGUAAUUAUGCCUCUGCAAAUUAUAUCUGGUAUAGUCAGAAUGGAAGAUCAAAACCUGAUUUUUUUUGUACUCCCCUACUAGGACAAAAGAGACACGGAUGUCUAAAGUAGAUUCAAGACUGUCUAUCAGAAUCUCCAACAGUGAACAAAACCAUGUGAUUCUGGAGAUCUCCUCUGCUGCUGUAUCAGACUCUGCUCUGUACUACUGCGCUCUGAGGACCACAGUCACAGGAAACUCAACGCAAUGUCAAACUCAGUAAAUGUCAACUUACACAAGAUCAGGAGGUUCCUGAAUGUCUUGAUAACUGAAGAGCAGAAAGCAUCAGUAACACAGUCAGAGCACAGAGAGCAUUAACACACAACUGAUCUGAUCAUAUUCACCAUGAACAAAUACAUGCUGCUGCUUUUCAUUAUGGCAUCAGAUGUAAUGGCUGUGGACAAAAUUGAGCCAAACAGAAGGACCAAUAUCAUCAAAACUGAAAGAGAGACUGUAAUGCUGAGCUGCUCUUAUGAGUCAGACAGUGAAUAUGUACGUCUGUAUUGGUACAGACAAUAUCACAAUGGAGAACCUCAAUAUUUAUUACAUCAAGGUUCUCGAUCAAGCAUAACAAGGCACAGCUCCGAUCCUCGAUUUAUGUCAAGUAUUUCUCGCAUUUUCACUGAACUCAUUAUUAGUAGUGUGACUGUGUCAGAUUCAGCUCUCUAUUACUGCACUUUAAGAGUUGAAGCCCAGUGAUACAAACCAUGAAACAAGUCGUACAAAAACUACAAGCCAUUUUCACUUUGAAGCUCUUAUUAUGAAAACCAAAUCAAAACCUCAAUGUUAGAUAAUAACUGCAAACACCUGCGUGAGGUUGAGGCAAGAAAUGUUUUACAAAAGGAAUAAAAAGGAGGUAGAAGGAUUGUAAGUGUAAUGAAUGUACUUUCACUUGCUUUAUGCCUAACAAGUUUAACAUCUGACUUAAUUUCAGCUGUGUAACACUGAAACAAACCAAAAGAGGGCAACAUCUCUCAUCACACUAACAGAGUGGUUUCCUUUAACUUUUCACAAGCUCCUCCUUAAAGUCCUAUCAUAUUAUGAAAGCAAACCUGUCUUAUUUAUUUUGACUUCAUUGUCUGUUUGAAACAGAUCAUGAGGUGGUUCAUGAAUAUAUUUCUAUUUGCACUAUUCAGUCUUGGUAUGUAUUUCUACACAUUUUAAGCAGUUAGACCACUCUUUAAAAAUUGUAUAGAUUGUUUGUUGAUAUGGAUUUUGUGAUAUACAUCAAAAAUCAUAACUACAUCAAAUAUUCUUAAAUCCUUACAGAGUGCAGAUCAGAAGACAAAGUUGAUCAGCCAGACAAACAUGUGACUGAAGCUGAAGGACAAUCAGUGACAUUAGAUUGUACAUAUACAACAACCUCAACACAACCAUACAUCUUCUGGUACAUCCAGAGA